rnacentral:rRNA from 1 species
UACGAAGGGGGCGAGCGUUGUUCGGAUUUACUGGGCGUAAAGGGCGCGUAGGCGGCGCCGCAAGUCGAGUGUGAAAGCCCCGGGCUCAACCUGGGAAUUGCGCUCGAGACUGUGGUGCUGGAGUUCGGGAGAGGAGCGUGGAAUUCCCAGUGUAGAGGUGAAAUUCGUAGAUAUUCGCAAGAACACCAGUGGCGAAGGCGGCUCACUGGCCCGAUACUGACGCUGAGGCACGAAAGCGUGGGGAGCAAACAGG